AGUGAACUGGCACCUUAGUAUUGGCCAGGAAGCUUGCCUGAGUGAGGGAGUACUUACACCUGUAAAAUCACACAGUGCACAACUGAGUGUUGGAGGCAAGCAGCACCUGGUGCCUCUUUACUCAUAGAACAGAAUAACCCGAGAAAUAGUCCUGUAAGGCUUGUGUUUGGCUUGUGCAGUGUUAAUUACAGCAUGGUCGCCCUUUCUGCUGAAACACAACCACAUGAAUGAAUGAUGCAGGACUGAGCACGGAAAAACUGAGACAGCAGAGCUGCUGACAUUAAUGGUCUCAUCCCUGUGUGAUGUGAGCUACUGGACACUCAAGACCUCGAUCCUGAGAUCUCUGGGAUGGAAAUGGCAUUAUUUUCUGUGCCUACAGUACCAACCACAGCGUGACAGACCCAGCUAAAGGCCAAAGGCAUUAUGACACACUAUUAAAGAUCGUCACAGUCUACAAGAAUUCCAUUGUGCAUCUUCACUGAAUUUGUUCCAUGAUAGCAAAUAAAGAACGGUUGUUUCUCUGAGCUGAAUGUAGUCUGCCAGACAACUGUAAAUCAGUGUUCCAUCCUUUACAUGUGAGAAAUCUUUCAACAUUACUAUUUCAUUAAUUGGUUUCAGUGAUGAUACUUUUUCUCCCAUUGUGUUUUUAA